CUCGAACUCCACCGCAACCACUCAGGCGAGGAUCUUGGCCAACUCCAGACCUUUCUGGAACGCUGGACCAGGUAAACAUUUUGUCAGAAAAUCAGCUGCAUUUAGGGUAGUAUGAACUUUGAGUAGAUUCACGGAACCCUCAUGAACCUUGUCCCGGAUAAAAUGAUACUUAGUAUCCAUAUGCUUUGUUCUGCCAUGGUGAACUGCAUUCUUAGCUAGGCAUAUUGCACUCUGAGCAUCACAAUAUAGCGUGUAGCUUUUGAAUUCAAAACCUAACUCACCGCAAAGCAUCAUCAACCACUUACCCUCCUUCGCUGCUUCAGUGAGAGCCAUAUACUCAGCUUCUGUGGUUGACAAAGCAACUACAGACUGUAGUGUGGCUCGCCAACUGACAGUGUUUCCUCCAACCUGAAAAAUAUACGCUGAAACUGAUCUCCUUCGAUCCAAAUCUGAAUUGUAGUCUGAAUCACUGUAGCCCACUAUAUCAAAUAUCUCUUGCUUUGUAAACGUAAGACACACAUCUAGCGCUCCUGUUAAGUAUUUGAAAACCCAUUUGACAGCAUCCCAGUGAGCUCUUCCUGGUUGAGACAUGUACCUGCUGAUCAGACAGAUGGCAAAUCCCAAAUCAGGUCGAGACCCAAUCAUAGCAUACAUUAAGCUUCCAACCGCACUUGCAUAGGGUAUCUUAUCCAUAUAGCUAGCUUCCUCUUUGAUCUCAGCUUCCGUUAACCUCCUCAACUUAUGUUGUGAGCUAACUGGAGUCACAACUGGUUUAGCUCCUUCCAUAUUGAAAUUUUUCAAUACUUGUCUCAAGUAUUUUCCCUGUGAAAGUUUAAGGAGUCCUUUCUUCCUGUCACGUAGAAUGUCCAUUCCUAAGAUACGUGUAGCUUUCCCCAAAUCUUUCAUUUCAAACUCUGACUUGAGACUUUCCUUCAAUCUCUGAAUUUUCCUCAUAUCUUUAGACGCAACUAGCAUAUCAUCCACGUAGAGCAGUAAGAACACUUUCUCAUCUAGGGUCUUUCCUUUGAAGUAUACACACGGAUCAUGAACGCUUUGGCUGUAACCUUGUCUCUUCAUGAACUCAUCAAACCUCUGAUUCCACUGUCUUGGAGACUGUUUCAACCCAUACAACGACCUCUUCAGUAAACACACUUUAGACUCAUUUUCUUUUUCAAUGAAUCCUUCCGGCUGAUUCAUAUAUAUCUCCUCAUUUAGCGUUCCAUGUAAAAAUGCCGUCUUUACAUCUAAUUGCUCAAGUUCCAUAUCAAAGUUAACCACAACUGACAGCAGUAGCCUGAUCGAAACAUGUUUUACCACUGGCGAGAAGAUUUCGUUGUAGUCAACACCCUCUAUCUGUGUAAACCCUUUGGCCACAAGCCGUGCCUUGAAUCUAGGUGGUUCGACUCCCGGAAUCCCUUCUUUAUACUUGAAGAUCCAUUUACACCCCACAAUCUUCUUCUUUCCUGGCUUUUCUACAAUGAGCCAAGUACUGUUCUUGGCUAAUGAAUCGAUUUCUUCUUUCAUUGCUAGCCUCCAGUACUUCCAAUAUUUGCUUUUCAUUGCUUCCGCUACGGUCUUUGGUUCUUCAAUCUCCACGUCUUGAGCACACAGCAGAGCAUACACAACCACAUAGUCACUUCCUUCCUCAUACAUCGACGGCUUCUUUAUAACUCUUUUAGCUCGAUCUCGUGCCAACACAUAGUCACUUAAGCUUUCUGUAGAGGUUUCCGGUUGGUCUGAUUCUGAUUCUUCCUGUUCAUCUGGUUCAACAUCUGAGCUCUCUGACUCUGUUACUUCUGACCUUGAUGCCUCAGUGCCAGUUUCUGAAAAAACUCCACCUGAUUCUGUAUCCUCCAAUGUCUUAUCGAAUCUGAACGAGACUUGCUUUCCUUUCUUGUUCUGUUUCGUCUCGGGGGUACAUUUUUCAACUUUGUCCUUGAAGACUUUAUCUUCGUGAAACACCACGUUUCUGCUGAUCGUACAUUUCCCUUCUUCUGGCAUCCAUACUCGAUAUCCUUUGACCCCCUGAGGAUAUCCUAAGAAGUAACCCUUUGUAGCUCUAGGUCUCACUUUAUCCUGAACCGUAUGUACAAAUGCUUCACAACCAAACCUUCUCAAAUGAUUGAGAGUAACCUUUCUCCCAGACCAGACCUCCUCGGGUAUUUUGAAGCUUAAAGCCGACGUAGAAGAAUGAUUUAUGAGAUAUACUGCAGUUGAUGCGGUUUCUGCCCAAAACUGUUUCCCAAAUCCGGUCUCAGCUAGCAUGCUCCGAACUUUGUUCAUUAUUGUCAUAUUCAUUCUCUCUGCCACCCCGUUUUGCUGCGGGGUGUAGGCACAGGUCUUAUGCCGUUUUAUUCCUGAGCUCUUGCACAGUUCAUCAAAAGCUUUGUUGCAAAAUUCCAAACCAUUGUCUGUUCUGAGACACUUUACACGCUUCCCUGUUUGGUUUUCAACGAGUAGCUUCCAUUCCUUAAAACUUUGAAAUGCCUCAUCUUUGGAUCGUAUGAAACUUAUCCACACUUUCCUUGAAUAAUCAUCGAUGAACGUAAUGAAGUAUCUACUCCCUGCAAGACUUUCUUCAACACUGGGUGACCCCCAUAGAUCAGAGUGUAUAUACUCUAGCGGUUUCUUGGACGUGUGCUUUCCUUCUUGAAAGCUUUGUUUCUGUGCUUUUCCCAAAACACAUUCUUCACAGAAGUCGAGUGUAUGAACUUCUUUUCCGUCGAGAUAACCGCCUUUUACUAGUUCAUUCAUACACUUCAGUCCCAUGUGACCCAACCUUGAAUGCCACCUUCUUGUAGUAUCAAUUUCAGGUCGAGCAAUUGCUGCAGUGCCUUUCUGAACACUCCCAUUCAGAAAAUAUAACCCUUCUCUGUAAGUCCCUGAGAUCACACACUUUCCUUUUCGUGAGAACGUAACGUUAAAUCCAGAUCCUUCAUAGCUACACCCGCUCUUCUCUAAUUGACCAAAGGAGAUUAAGUUCCUGCCCAUACUUGGCAUGUAGCGUACGUUAGUCAGAAUAACCUCUGUUUUGUCUGGAUUUAAGAUCUUCAGUUUUCCAAUCCCAGUCACUUCACUGUAGGUAUUGUUUCCCAUUAGUACCUUUCCUCCAUCAACUUCUUCAAAGUCAAAUAAUGCAUCCUUGUCUGGGGUGAUAUGAAAGGUACAACCAGAGUCCAGCACCCACUGAUCUCGCGUGUCAUGAACACUUGCGGUCAAGAUCAUAGGUUCCUGCCUUUGAGCAACAUUGGCAUUCUGUUGCUUAUUUCCAUCUUUCCUCUCAGGACAAUCCCUUUUGAAAUGACCUUCACUGCCACAGACCCAGCACUCUUUCGCCUUUGCAGGUGUCUGUGAUCUUGAAUUCUUCCUGAACUUCGUGUCUCUACUCUUACUUCUUCCUCUCCCUUAUUUCCCUCCUUGACGACGUUCAUUGUUACCUUUGGUGGCAAACAGACCUUCAGCAGCUGAGCUUGUUUUUCCCACCAGUCCUUUCUCUCUUAGUUCAGCUUCUUUUGAAUAGGCUGAGGUAGUAACUUCUUUGAGCGUCAAUGUCUCCUUGCUAUUUCCAUACUUCAAUGUAUGUACAAGAGAGUCGUACUGAGGAGGCAAGCUUGACAGUACUUGAAUGGCUUGAUCUUCAUCAGAUACCAAGAUGUUCAAACUUGCCAAGUCAUCCACCAACUUCAAGAAUCCAUCUAAGUUUUCUUCAAUAGAUUUCUGCUCAGACAUCUUGAAACUUGCAAAGCUCUGCUUUAAGUAGAUUCGAUUAGGCAAUGUCUUGGUUUGAUAAUCCGCUUCUAAAGCUUUCCAAACUCCUUUUGCUGUCUGCUCUUUCAUCACUUUCCUCAGCACGAUGUUGGUUAGACUAGAGCAUAUCAAAUUCCGAACUCUGGUAUCCUUCUCUUUAGCUUUGGGGUCGAGUUCCUCUUUUGCCUUUAGCUUUGAAUCACUGUCGUCUUUCUCCGACGAUGAUUCUUCAGUAGACUCAUCUUCCAGUACUUUACCGAGUCCCUGUAACUCAAGCUGCAUCAGCAUCUUGAACUUCCACAUCCCAAAAUCCCCUUUACCAUCAAACUUUUCCAUCUUGAACUUCGUGACCGACUCCAUCAUCAAGAUCCGAGCUCGAACAACACACAAAUCCUCAAACUCUUAGAAUCGUCUAACGCCUUGGAUCACAAUCACUUGCAAUCACCUCCUGCACAAUAACCUUGUGCUCUGAUACCACUUGUUAGUGUUAUAAUCUUGAUUGUACUUGAUUAGAUCGAUCAACCGUUCUUGACUAUUGCUUGUGCUUGGUUCGUAGGUAACUAAAGAAAGCUAAGCAAUCAACACGCACGAGAUUGUUCACCCGGACUUCGUUUCCUACUGUCCGGGGAGAGCACGAUCACUCUCAACUGUCACUAUAGCUGUUUGAUCAAUACAAAGUCUCGGUAUCUUUCAACGCAUACAACUAUGAAUCUCAGUUAUAGAAGCGCGCAAAGAGUACCUCUGAAAUACACCACCGGUAAUCAGAUUCUUCUACGGUUCCGAUCACGGCAAGCUCUCCGCCUUCACCGUCGCGAUCGUCACCAAGAUAAGACUCUCUCACUCUGAUCCUUUAGCUC
rnacentral:lncRNA from 1 species